CUGGGAGGCUGAACCAGGGAUCACUCCUCACCAGGGCUAGAGUUCUGGCAAAUUUAGCUGGAUUCCCACGGCUACGCUCCUCGUGAGCCUUGCAAUCUCGGGAAGCUCCACAAGGUCGUCCCAUCCCUGACAUCCCCUCAGGGAAGAAUAAACAACCGGCAACGAGAAGCUAGAGGAGUCCUAGGAAUUUUAAGGAAGAGGCACUCACAACUGAAACUGACAUCAGGUGACUUCCAUAACCACAUAAACAAUAAGGAAACCAAAAUCAAUGAUAAGUGAUCCAAAGCAAAUGAACUGGGCUCCAGCAGAGAAAAGAUUCCGAUAUUCAACAAUAUUAGCUUUGUUCCUUUGGGACUAAUGAAGACCUUUAAAAGAGGUCUCUCUGGACCUCCAAAGCACAAAAGAAACAAACGCCAAAAUGCUGCUGAUUUUUCUUUUCGCCGCCUUGCUGGCCUUAUCAAACUCUGCUGAGCAAAAAAGUCAGCAACAACCUUUUGAUGAAAAUCCUGGUCUGUGUCCUCCCCGUGAAUUCCCAGGUUCCAAAUAUCCUUCAACUAUGAAAAAAUCUUCCAAUUCUGAUUUCUUAUUCUGCAAAUCACAAUGUAAUAAAGAUGUUGAUUGCAACUUUUCAAUGAAAUGUUGCCCAAUGGGUAAUAAAUGCAAGCAGUGUGUGCCACCCAUAAUGUUCUAAUUAUCUCAGUCUUUUGGAAAGUAGUAAGCACAAAUGCUGGAUGAAGAUAUGGGACCAAAAAGGGGGAACCAUAGAAUUUCUUUCCAGACAUUGCUAUUUUUCAAAUUUCUGUUCUCAUCAAUUUUAAUCAACGAAAACUUCACACUAUUAAACCAGCAUCUGUUAGCAA